rnacentral:tRNA from 1 species
UCCGAAUUGGUGUAGUGGCUAACAUUUGACGCUCUCAUUCUGUACCGUCAAGCCCGGGGUUCGAUUCCCCGAUUCGGAG